AUUGAACGCUGGCGGCAUGCCUAACACAUGCAAGUCGAACGGCAGCAUGAUCUAGCUUGCUAGAUUGAUGGCGAGUGGCGGACGGGUGAGUAACGCGUAGGAAUAUACCUUAAAGAGGGGGAUAACUUGGGGAAACUCAAGCUAAUACCGCGUAAGUUCUGAGGAAGAAAGCUGGGGACCUUCGGGCCUGGCGCUUUAAGAAUAGCCUGCGUACGAUUAGCUAGUUGGUGAGGUAAGGGCUCACCAAGGCGACGAUCGUUAGCUGGUCUGAGAGGAUGGCCAGCCACACUGGGACUGAGACACGGCCCAGACUCCUACGGGAGGCAGCAGUGGGGAAUAUUGGACAAUGGGGGAAACCCUGAUCCAGCAAUGCCGCGUGUGUGAAGAAGGCCUGAGGGUUGUAAAGCACUUUCAGUGGGGAGGAGGGAUGACAGGUUAAGAGCUAGUUAUUUGGACGUUACCCACAGAAGAAGCACCGGCUAACUCCGUGCCAGCCGCCGCGGUAA
rnacentral:rRNA from 1 species